rnacentral:rRNA from 1 species
CCUACGGGCGGCAGCAGUGGGGAAUAUUGGACAAUGGGCGAAAGCCUGAUCCAGCCAUGCCGCGUGUGUGAAGAAGGCCUUCGGGUUGUAAAGCACUUUCAGUGGGGAAGAAAGCCUUGGGGCUAAUACCCUCGAGGAAGGACAUCACCCACAGAAGAAGCACCGGCUAACUCCGUGCCAGCAGCCGCGGUAAUACGGAGGGUGCGAGCGUUAAUCGGAAUUACUGGGCGUAAAGCGCGCGUAGGCGGUCUGAUAAGCCGGUUGUGAAAGCCCCGGGCUCAACCUGGGAACGGCAUCCGGAACUGUCAGGCUAGAGUGCAGGAGAGGAAGGUAGAAUUCCCGGUGGAGCGGUGAAAUGCGUAGAGAUCGGGAGGAAUACCAGUGGCGAAGGCGGCCUUCUGGACUGACACUGACGCUGAGGUGCGAAAGCGUGGGUAGCAAACAGGAUUAGAUACCCCAGUAGUC